ensembl:lncRNA FAM95A family with sequence similarity 95 member A
AGCAUUCUUCCAUCUGUAGAUGUUUCAGCUGCUGUACAAGGGAGUCCCAUUUCAGGUGUGGGGCUGGGCAUGGUCACUCCUGCUGGAUGUCUGGAAGGUGAAAACCAAGGACCUAGGGAAAUACCAGGUACAGCCUUUCCACCCUCAUCCAGAGCAGGACAAACAGGCCAGGUGGUAUCAGGAGCCCAGGUCUCCAGCUGGAGGGAAUGUCAACCCUGCAGUGGGAGCCCAUCACGCAUCCUAGGCACAGAUGCUAAUGUAGGCACCGCGGGUAAGCUGAGCUUGGUACCCCUCCCUGGCUUCAAAAAUAAGCCAAACAAGGAGCUUUCUGCAGAAUGAAACCUGUUUUUCAUCCAGAAGCACUGCUGACUGUUUGGUGGUUGCUGUUGGGGCAGUGAGCCUUUUGUCCAUUCUGAGAUUGGGCUGGUUUCUCCUCUUGGCCCUGCCCUACAGACCAUAAAGGAAAACAGCAAGAGGUCCGCAGCAAACAUCUACAGAUGGCCCUGGACAUCAGCCACAUUCUGAGAAACAUGUCAUGUUCUGGGAGGGCUAAGGCAUCAAGUAAGGCCUCUGGGGCUGGAGGAUCCCAGGGCAGGUGGGGCAAUCCAGAGCUGUGGGGGCUUCCAUGGGAAUUGGGAGGUCUCAAGGCAGAGGGAGGGGUUCCACAGGAGGAGUCACAGAGCCACCAAGGGGUCUCCUGGCCCAGGGAGCAGCCAACACCAUGGACUGAACACCCGCUGGGCUCCAAGCCCUGGGCCAGGCUGGGGCAUAUGGGGCCAGGAGGCAGCUCAGAGUGGGAGACAGAGAGACAAGUGUGCUCAGAGGGCACCCGUAUCUGGAUGUAGUGUGGUCCUGAGUUUCUGGCUGGGAAGCGCUUCCAGGGUUUCAUAUGUAUUAUGGAGCUGCUUCCUCUCUCCAGGCUCACCCUGCAGGAAUCCCAGUGAAUAUAUUGCCACCAUCUUGGAGCUCAGUGCCCUCUUAGUGUAAUGGCACCAGCAGAUCUGCCUGUGCACGGACUUCCUGUACUACCUCACUCCUGAGGGGAGAUGCUUCUGCAGGGCCUAUGACCUGGUGCACAACUUUAGACACCAUCAUCCUGGAGCAGCACCUCACCCUCACUUGCCGGGGUGUUGAUGACUUCCUCAAGGCUAAGGCCACAUUCAAGAUUUUGGACUUCAGUGAUGCAUUUUUGCUGAGCAAGGUGGGCUUCUCCGGGAUUUUAGUUCAGGAGGUAGAAUGCAGCUUGAGAUCAAGUGUCUGAUCAAAUAACUUGAACUUGAUCUGGAGAGCUCUGGGGAGCCAUAGAAGUUGUUGGAUAAAGGAGGGACAGUCGUAUAUGUUUUAGAGAUGACUGUGGAAGGCUGCCUGGAAGGAGUGAACAAGAGCCAGGAGACCAGGGAGGGAGCUUGUGGGGCAGGUCUGGAGAUGACAAGGGAGGGAUCCUGCUUUGAUGAAAGGUCUUCAGGGAAUGUCUCAGGUUACACUCAGGUGUCCUCAGAGCUAGUGUGUUCAGGGGUCUUGCCUCCAGGAUGAAAAUGAGAAGGAGUUGUCAGACAAGAACAUAUAAAUGAAGGCUGGCAUCUUCGUGAGUGCCAAUCGUUGUCCUGGUGUGGACUACUGUGGGAAUAGGGGUCUCUCCAUCCAGGGACAUGGUGGAUGGACCCUACAUCACUCCAUUCUGCCCUUCCUUUCCCUCCCAUUCUGAGGGCCUCAGUGCAAGGGCGCUGUCCAACCUCUGGUGCUGAAGCAGCCGAGAGACCCAAGCCUGCCACUCAGGAUAUGACAGCACAGCCAGUGGCCUCUACUGGAUCCUGUACAACCUCAGAAGACACCUAGACACUGGGAGUGCUGCCACCACGUGGUGCAAGAGUUCUGAGGGACCGCAAUUCUGAAGACAUUGAAUGCUGCUUCCUGCUCCCUCCAUGGACCUGCACAGAAUUGUCCCAUGUUUCUGUUUGUUUGGGCACCACUGAGGAAGGAAGCAUGAAGGACGCAGAGGUCAGGCCAUUCUAUUGCCCUCCUGCUGCUGGGUCUUUAAUCCUGAGAUGGCUUCAGGGGCUGGUCCUUCUCCAUGGCCCCCUCCACAUAUCUCAGCCAUUUUGCAAACCCUGGUCAGAAUGAAACAUUCCUUGGGAACUCGGGCCAUGAGAAGCAUCCUUCCUGACCACCUGACUGCGGAAACAUCCUUAUCGCAUCCUCCCGGGCGAAGGCCCAACAGCCUGACUGCAGGAACAUCCUUGCCAUAUCCUGCCGGGCAGCAAGCUCUACCGCCCAGACCCCUCCUUCCCAGUCCCAUGAUCGCCCCAGCCUGUGAGCGGCAGUUGGUGAUGGCACUAAGCUGAUUUCCUCCUCUGCAGGGUUUUGCUAGUAAUAAAGGUGUUGCUGUUGAAGCCACCAA